UCAAAUAUUAGUUACUCUUUAAGACUAUUCCUUUGUUUGCUUUACAGCAAGGAGGCCAAUAAUGCUUGAUAUCAUGGGCAAGCUUUUACUCUCAAAAGAAGGUGAAAUUUGGCCAGAAUGAUUUUAAAGCUUGCGUGCUGAAUGACUGACCCCAUUGCCAAACAAAAUUCAGUCCCAUCAUUCCAUCACAAGUAAGUUGGCACGUAGAAAAUUCACCUAGUAAAGAGGUCUACAACUGCUAGCCAAGAAUGGGUAAGCCGUUCUAUCCUCUCUCUAGGUAAAAGAAAUUAGGUAACCGUCCGAGGGAGGUGGAGCUUCGGCUCCUCCCUCCCUCCCCCCCAACCUUUUCUGUUUUCAUUUCUGUUUUUCAAUGCUUUUCUUCCUGAAAUAAGAUCGGCUCCAGAGGCCUCCACCAGAGGCUGUGACCCGAGACCUUUACUUCUUUUUUUACACCCAGCUGGGCGGAGAGGUUUUCUUUUGGGGUGGAGGUUCUCGGUUUCGUUUUUGGGCGAGAUCCCUGACUGUUUUGUAUAGUCUUCUGUGGGAUGUUCCUCAGAGGGUUACAACCUGAGUUUGAAUCGGGUGACUUGCUCCUGGAGAUGAUGUUUUUGCUUGUUGGCUUGGGGUGCUUCCCGCUGGGUUAAGGAUCUCUGUUUUAUCCAUGGAAAACAGAGGGUUGGUUUUCGGGUUGUAAGCCGAGCUGCAUGGAGGUUUUAAAGGGGUUGGGGUGGAGUCCGGAUGCUUCUCAUGGUGGUUACUCUUUUGGUUGGUGGCGGAAACCGGGUGUCGCAGUGUUAGAUGGUUUUUCUAAGUUCUUCUUUAUUUGCGUUUUUGGUUGUUAGAUCUGUUUAGAUCUGGUGUUUUGAUUGGGGGUUGGGAAUAAGCCUCGGUUUUUUCGUCUCUGUGUGGUUUUGGAUUUGGCUCUGUGUCCGUUUAGUCUAGCUGAAGUAUUUUGGUGGUUGUGGCCAGGCGACGGAGACGGUGAUGUAAUCCUUGUGCAGGGAGUACGCCGCAUCCUCCACGGAGCGGCAAAAGAACUUUCUGUCGAAACCUGUAGGGAUGAAGGGCUGAGCAGGAGCCGGGCGGGGGAAGGAUGCAGAGGCUUGUGGGGAGGAAGAUGGGCGGCGGUGGCUUGUGUUGAGAUGAAACCCUAAUAGGGUUGGGCCCCCAUGGUCCUACGGGCUGGAUCUUUAGCUCGGGUAGGGCCUUUAGUUCAGGUUGGGCCUUUAGUUCAGGUUGGGCCUUUUUGUUUUUCCAGCCCCUUAGUUUUAUUUUGUAGUAAAUCUGCUUUAGUUUUUUAUAAAUAAUAAAAUAGGCUUCUGUCCCACUCCUCUUUUGGAGGAAUGUGGGUGUUUGUCCUACUCCUCUUUUGGAGGAAGGUAGGUGUUAGUACUCUUCCUCUUUGGGAGGUGAGAGUUUGGUUAUUCUCUUUCUCCUUGGGAGGAUGGAGCGGUGUGUACCUUUCUUUUUCGGAAGGAAGGUUGUUUCAGCUCUGGUUUUGACAGAGCGCUUUCUCUUUUGACUGUUGUCAGGAGAGAAGGUGUAGAAGUUUAGACAAUGUCCGUCACAAAGAAAUUUGUUGAUGGGGAAGCUCCUGAGCAGUUGCGUUAGUUGACUUAUAGUUUGGUUCUCCUGUAUUGAUAAGUCACAGUUGUAACUUCGAUUAUGAAUGAAUGCAGAUGCAUUUUCCCAUAAAAAAAAAAAAAAGUAAGUUGGCACGCACAUGUACGUAGAGUCAGCAUCCAACCAAUUUUAAGUACUGUGCUUAAAAGACGCUGGUCACCUCUGUUCCCUUUGAUAAUUAUGGAAGUUGGUGAAUUGGAAUUGUAACGA